CGAUGUAAGGCCAUCAUUCGAGUGAAGUGGAGCAACACACAUCAACAUGAAACUGUUCAACCUGCUAGUGCUGGUCCUCGCGGUGGUCGCCAUGUUGAUGGGCGGCGCCAGCGCACACCCCAAGGGCGCGGGGGGCGGCUUGAGGAAAGGAUUUAAAGCUAUUAAAGCUGGAAUCGGGGCUAUCGGCGCCAUAGGUACGGGUCAUGAAAUCUAUGAACAAGUCAAACACAGGAGAGGUUAAAUAUAUAUAAAUAAUGUAGGUAAUUAACCCUACUGGACAUCUAUUGUGGUAUUGAAAAGCCAAUGUUAUUGUUUAAAACAAGUUUAUUAAUAGAUAACUUGUGAAACUUUGUUAUAGGUAUCAAUUAAAUGUAGUUAGUAAAAUAAAUGGUUGACGUUUACUAACAUA